CAUUCUCUGACAACCAGGAUUGAGGAGAAACGAUGUUGCUCCUUCAGAUCUGAUGAGAAUGAGGUGGGAGACCACAUUGGUGGAAAAAGACAUACGGUCAUGAACACUCAAGGCUGGAGAAAUUUCUCGGUGUCAGACUGCAGAGGUACACCCUUCCCAGAGCCUGAAGGAACAAACUUCCAGGAGGAAAAAUGG